GGUUGCUGCAAAAGUAAUUGCGGUUUUUGCCAUUUAAAGAAAUGGCAAAACCCACAAUUACUUUUGCACCAAUC
rnacentral:miRNA from 1 species